AGCGGCGGACGGGUGAGUAAUGCCUAGGAAUCUGCCUGGUAGUGGGGGAUAACGUUCGGAAACGGACGCUAAUACCGCAUACGUCCUACGGGAGAAAGCAGGGGACCUUCGGGCCUUGCGCUAUCAGAUGAGCCUAGGUCGGAUUAGCUAGUUGGUGGGGUAAUGGCUCACCAAGGCGACGAUCCGUAACUGGUCUGAGAGGAUGAUCAGUCACACUGGAACUGAGACACGGUCCAGACUCCUACGGGAGGCAGCAGUGGGGAAUAUUGGACAAUGGGCGAAAGCCUGAUCCAGCCAUGCCGCGUGUGUGAAGAAGGUCUUCGGAUUGUAAAGCACUCUAAGUUGGGAGGAAGGGCAGUAAAUUAAUACUUUGCUGUCUUGACGUUACCGACAGAAUAAGCACCGGCUAACUCUGUGCCAGCAGCCGCGGUAAUACAGAGGGUGCAAGCGUUAAUCGGAAUUACUGGGCGUAAAGCGCGCGUAGGUGGUUCGUUAAGUUGGAUGUGAAAUCCCCGGGCUCAACCUGGGAACUGCAUUCAAAGCUGACGAGCUAGAGUAUGGUAGAGGGUGGUGGAAUUUCCCUGUGUAGCGGUGAAAUGCGUAGAUAUAGGAAGGAACCCCAGUGGCGAAGGCCACCACCUGGACUGAUACUGACACUGAGGUGCGAAAGCGUGGGGAGCAAACAGGAUUACAUACCCCUGGUACUCCCACGCCGUACACGAUGUCCACUAGCCCU
rnacentral:rRNA from 1 species